rnacentral:snoRNA from 1 species
UGAGAGCUUUUAUAUAUUAACAAUACUGACUGCCUCUAACACACCCAACAGGAAUCAAGGGGCAUUAUGAUGAGGUGCACAAAACCUAUGGCCUCCCUAAAAAUUCCCUACAUGU